CACUGACGUUUAGAAAACACUCGUGCUGUAAGUAAGUGAAUCGCAAAAGGGUUGGAAUGAUUUCAUUCCACAGCCUGUGGUUGUUGCUGUAUGUCACCUGGAGCCAGUGAAAACAUUUGCAUAAGAAUUUAAAAAUACGUAGAUGUUUCAAUUUAAAUUUUUUAGCAUAUGUGUUGCAUUUUUGCUCAACAUCUGAUGAUGUGACACAUGUCGUUAGUAAUCACGUGUUAUUACUAUGCCAGUACUCUUGAAAUGGGAGUUUUGUUUAGGGAUUUGCAGGAAAACUAACCAAAAACUACACCCGGAAACGGUCAAAUAAAAUGAUUUUCUUUCGUCUACGGGUAUGAGCGGUAACGUUUCAGCCGGUAGCUUUACUAAUUGGGCUUAAUUAAUCCUACAAUCUGUAACAGGUGUGCGGUGCAACCCACGUUUUAUAUGGUAACGCGCGUGAAAGGUGUGCAGACCGGUUUCAAACUACAGACCGUGCGAACAUAUAACUUACGUCGUCCCAGUGGUCGAAUUCAUAGCGUUUCUUCUUCAGGCCCGGCUCCAGCUCUCGCAGAAAAGACCCUUCCUCCUCCUCGGUGAUGAAGCCCGUCCUCACCUCCACCUGUGAGCCGAGUCUCCGCACGAGCUCCCGGCUCGAGCCGACGACGAGAGCUUCAUCCCGGAGAGGUGACAGGCCGCUGCUGGAGGCACAGGAGCUCAGGCGGCGCCGCGGACUGGCGUCAACAGCUGGUUUGUGGAUUCGUUUGACCGCUAAGUCAAGCGACUACGUGAGACGCCAUGUUGAAAACGCAAUGCAUUAUGGGGGGUGGAGUCUUCCAGCAGUGAAGCUUUUCAAUCAGGAGCCGUUUCUCUGCCCAAGGUAUGAUGCCGUUCUGUCCUGUGACCACUGGAGGGCAGUGAAGACUCAUUAUUGUAAACAGACUCGGGUCAGUUGUGUCCUCCACCAUUGUGCCAACAUCUGGAGAAAACCUUCAAAGUCAAACAUGCAGAGAGGAAGUGGUGUUCUGCCACGUGUGUAGAUGCAGCUUGACAAAACGGUCACAUGGUGGAUAUUUGAUUACAAGCACUUGUAUAAUUGAUUAAAUUAAUAGUAACUUAAAUGUUCACUAUGUAACAUGCUUUAGUGAAAGAAAUACACAAAUUAACCGUAGUGGAAUUUAAUAACACAAUGAAAUGGAGAAAUUAUUAAAUGAUUAAAAAAUAGGGGUUCCCCAGCAGCUCACCUGGUAGGGGGAAGGCUGAGUCCUUACCUCAGGGGCCAGGGUUUGAAUCCAACCCAUGUCCAUUUACUGCAUGUUGUCCCCUCCCCCUUUCCUGACUAUCUGUAUUAUCCAAUAGCAAAAAAAAUAAUCUUACAAAAAGGGGGAAAUAGAAACAAUCUUCUUUAUGUCCCUUGGCCCACAAAUUCAAGGACGAGGAACCUAUUUGAAAUAUUAGAAUGGUUGAAAAAUAGAGUAUGAAAAGAAGAGAGCUCUGAGAGUAGAUGAAGUGGUGACUUCAUCCUCACAAGAGAUUCCCUCUGAAAAAAACCACUGGCCUAUUUACCACUAAGGACAGGUUACCUCUCUCGUCUGCUCUCUUGCAUUGUUUCAAACAGUUUGUUAGUGAAAUAUCAGCAUACAAGGAAAGUGGGACAUCUCCUUUUACCCUCACAGGAGAUCUGUGGAUGUUAAAGCUGAUGUUUACAUUCUGUAUCAGCUCAGAUGUGAGACUAACUGUCAAGGAGCCCGGAGGAGACGGAGAAACAGAUGGAGGAAGAAGAUGUUGGUU